rnacentral:tRNA from 1 species
GGUUGCAGCUCAGUGGUGGAGCGCUUGCCUAGCAUGCCAGAGGCCCUGGGUUUGAUACCCUGCACCA